rnacentral:lncRNA from 8 species
GUGCUGGCAGCGCUGGUGUAACUACCAGGGUAGGACUUCUUGAGGAAGCUGUGAACCCAGAGGAACAGGAUUCACUCUGAAGACUCAGAUCCCAUUGACAGGACCCACUGGCGCCGGGAUCCACUGACACCAGGAGCCACUGACACCAGAUCCCACUGAUCGUACCCAUGGCCAUGUACCAGCAGGCAGCUGUCUCCAAGCAGCAGGACAACACCUUCUCCAGCGGGGUCAUGGAGGAGUCUGAGGUCUGCUCUGUGCCUGGGGGGCUCGCCAGCGUCAGGGCACAAUUCGAGAACCAGGAAACUGCAACAUCGCACAAUGUCUCCCAGUUCCACUUCCACCGCAGAGCUGUGCAGGAAGUGCAAUUGAACUCUGAGGUGACAAUGAGGAGCAGUUCCAGAGAAGUCAUCCCAGCCUCGCAGCAGGCUAUUUUCCACCAGGAUGAACAGGUCACACAUGAAAUAAACAACUUUACCUCCGUUUAUGACAACAACCAUAAUGAUGAAAGAGAGGAGGAAGGUCCUAGACUUACAACCAAGGAAUUAAGAGAUCACUUUGAGAGAACCAUUGAAGAAGCUGCCCCAAGCAAGCCAAUGAAGGUAAUUGGACAUGGUUAAUUAACAUGCUUGGUCUUAAACACGUUUUAUUUCAACGGACAAAAACUGGAUCAUUUUGGGUUAGGUUACUGUACACAAACCCUGCUGCUUUUUAUCCCCAUUGCUGAAAAAGUUAUUAACUUUAGUUUAAUGGUAAUUAGUAGCAGUGUAGCUAAUGUGUAAUUACAGCUCGUUAAUUAAAUAACACUGAAGUUUUUUCCCCUUGUUUUCAAAAUUAUAAAAAUGAUUUUAUCAAACCAUGUUCGGGCACCAAUCCCUCAGUUAAUAACGAUGAGAUUGAAUAUUGACAAUUUGUGCUAAACAAAGAGUUGGCAUGCUAAACAAGCUAUAUAUGUCAUGUUUGCAUU